rnacentral:rRNA from 1 species
GAUGAACGCUGGCGGCGUGCCUAAUACAUGCAAGUCGAGCGAAUGGAUUAAGAGCUUGCUCUUAUGAAGUUAGCGGCGGACGGGUGAGUAACACGUGGGUAACCUGCCCAUAAGACUGGGAUAACUCCGGUAAACCGGGGCUAAUACCGGAUAAUAUUUUGAACUGCCUGGUUCAAAAUUGAAAGGCGGCUUCGUCUGUCACUUAUGGAUGGACCCGGGUCGCAUUAGCUAGGUGGUGAGGUAACGGCUCACCAAGGCAACGAUGCGUAGCCGACCUGAGAGGGUGAUCGGCCACACUGGGACUGAGACACGGCCCAGACUCCUACGGGAGGCAGCAGUAGGGAAUCUUCCGCAAUGGACGAAAGUCUGACGGAGCAACGCCGCGUGAGUGAUGAAGGCUUUCGGGUCGUAAAACUCUGUUGUUAGGGAAGAACAAGUGCUAGUUGAAUAAGCUGGCACCUUGACGGUACCUAACCAGAAAGCCACGGCUAACUACGUGCCAGCAGCCGCGGUAA